AUUGAACGCUGGCGGCAUGCCUUACACAUGCAAGUCGAACGGCAGCACGGGUGCUUGCACCUGGUGGCGAGUGGCGAACGGGUGAGUAAUACAUCGGAACAUGUCCUGUAGUGGGGGAUAGCCCGGCGAAAGCCGGAUUAAUACCGCAUACGAUCUACGGAUGAAAGCGGGGGACCUUCGGGCCUCGCGCUAUAGGGUUGGCCGAUAGCUGAUUAGCUAGUUGGUGGGGUAAAGGCCUACCAAGGCGACGAUCAGUAGCUGGUCUGAGAGGACGACCAGCGACACUGGGACUGAGACACGGCCCAGACUCCUACGGGAGGCAGCAGUGGGGAAUUUUGGACAAUGGGCGAAAGCCUGAUCCAGCAAUGCCGCGUGUGUGAAGAAGGCCUUCGGGUUGUAAAGCACUUUUGUCCGGAAAGAAAUCCUUGGCUCUAAUACAGUCGGGGGAUGACGGUACCGGAAGAAUAAGCACCGGCUAACUACGUG
rnacentral:rRNA from 1 species